rnacentral:rRNA from 1 species
CCCCUUAUGACCUGGGCUACACACGUGCUACAAUGGUUGGUACAACGAGUUGCGAGUCGGUGACGGCGAGCUAAUCUCUUAAAGCCAAUCUCAGUUCGGAUUGUAGGCUGCAACUCGCCUACAUGAAGUCGGAAUCGCUAGUAAUCGCAGAUCAGCAUGCUGCGGUGAAUACCGGUUCCCGGGUCUU